AGGGUUGUCAUCGAAAAUAACAAGACUAUUCUGGAUAUGAGUAACACUGAGGAAUAUGAUACUAAGCCAUUAAAGAAGGGUAUAAAAAUUAUGUCUGACACAGGAUAUGGAGAGAAAUAUGAUGAAGAUGAAAUAUGACAACAGAAUCAAGGCAUCAUCCUUCUGUAGGAGAGUCCAGAACUGUUGCCCCAUGAUCUGAUACCUGGAGUCGGAAAAUUGGUGGUCUUUGAUCAGAUCUGACAGCAGACACAUUUUGUCCUAAAUCAGGUUUGCCAUGUUGCCCAAGCUGGUCCUGAACUCCUGACCUCAAGUGAUUUGCCCACCUUCGCCUCUCAGAGUGUGGAA